GCAGCACUUUAACAGCAUAAUAUUUUAGGAUUUUAAAUAGCUGAGUCGAUAUACUGUCAUCUCUACUAGCAGUUUCUAUAUAGCCAUCCAAUUUUCAUAGGUGAGAAUGGGCUUGAAUCUAGCUCACAUUACUUCCUAGUACAGCAUCAACACCCUCAUCAAUAUCUUAUUAGUAUUGAUUUGUUGGAUAGUCAGCAAAAUGUUUAGACUAGAUUUGACACUUUUAUCUACCUCUCAAGUCCUUCCCAAUAAAUGGGGAUAGGCAGAUGUUGUUUGAUGAUAUUAAAGGUUUUGUCACAAGAUUUAACCUAUUCCAAGUAAAGCUGCCUUCUACUAUUGACUGUUAGGGAUUUUGUCAAUGCCAACAAUGCAAUUGGCGAAAGAGACCCUACUGAUGUUGCUUGUUUCAAAAGUGGUGGCUCCUGUAGACCAAUAUGUUCUUUCCCUGCUGAACAAUCAGGAACAUGUACUGGUGGUCUGGUUUGCUGUCAAUGGCCUCACCAACAUCCCGCAUAAAAUAUCAGGAAAACUCUGAAGAGUCUGAAGAGUUCUGAAGAAGAUAUUGAAACAUGGUGGCUGGAAGGUGUGCAAACAAUUCCCCUGAGAUAAAAAUAUUUUGAUUGAAUAUAUAAUCUGGAAAAAGAUAACUGUUUAACCUGUUGAUCUAUGUAUUAAAGUUCUAUAAUAGCAAUUGGUAAUUGGUAAUUAUUAUAUUCCUUUACUGUGUCAAACUGGGAUUAAAUACUAAUAAGAAAAAGUUGACCAAAUUGAGAUUAAUAACAUGACAAAUGUAUAAUUUCAGGGGUGGGUUUCUAACGGUUCUGUCCACCUCUGUAGAACUGGUAGCUCUGAAGAGCAGCAGACAUAGAACCGGUUCUAUGUCUGCUGAUGUUUUUGCCCACCCACCC
rnacentral:lncRNA from 1 species